rnacentral:rRNA from 1 species
UACGUAGGGUGCGAGCGUUGUUCGGAUUCAUUGGGCGUAAAGGGUGUGUAGGUGGCGCGCUAAGUCGGGUGUGAAAUUUCGGAGCUUAACUCCGAAACUGCAUUCGAUACUGCGGUGCUUGAGGACUGGAGAGGAGACUGGAAUUCAUGGUGUAGCAGUGAAAUGCGUAGAGAUCAUGAGGAAGACCAGUGGCGAAGGCGGGUCUCUGGACAGUUCCUGACACUGAGGCACGAAGGCCAGGGGAGCAAACGGGG